rnacentral:rRNA from 1 species
AGAGUUUGAUCCUGGCUCAGUACGAACGCUGGCGGCGCGCCUAACACAUGCAAGUCGAACGGAGCUGUUUUCUCUGAAGUUUUCGGAUGGAAGAGAGUUCAGCUUAGUGGCGAACGGGUGAGUAACACGUGAGCAACCUGCCUUUCAGUGGGGGACAACAUUUGGAAACGAAUGCUAAUACCGCAUAAGACCACAGUGUCGCAUGGCACAGGGGUCAAAGGAUUUAUCCGCUGAAAGAUGGGCUUGCGUCCGAUUAGCUAGAUGGUGAGGUAACGGCCCACCAUGGCGACGAUCGGUAGCCGGACUGAGAGGUUGAACGGCCACAUUGGGACUGAGACACGGCCCAGACUCCUACGGGAGGCAGCAGUGGGGAAUAUUGCACAAUGGGGGAAACCCUGAUGCAGCGACGCCGCGUGGAGGAAGAAGGUCUUCGGAUUGUAAACUCCUGUCCCAGGGGACGAUAAUGACGGUACCUGGGAGGAAGCACCGGCUAACUACGUGCCAGCAGCCGCGGU